rnacentral:misc_RNA from 1 species
UCAAACUUGGUCAUUUAGAGGAAGUAAAAGUCGUAACAAGGUUUCCGUAGGUGAACCUGCGGAAGGAUCAUUAGUUAUUGCUGGGGGAUUUAUGUAUGGGGAGAGGUAUUUUUCUGUACAUGUUUAUGUAUGGAGGUAUUUCUCUGUACAUGAUGACCACACAUUUACGCUUGCAAGUCUUGACAGGUUAUUAUAACGGGGAUGCUUUUAAGACUUUUAACAAUGGAUCUCUGGGCUCCUGCAUCGAUGAAGAACGCAGC